AACGAACGCUGGCGGCAUGCCUAACACAUGCAAGUCGAACGAUGGUCUUCGGAUCAUAGUGGCGCACGGGUGCGUAACGCGUGGGAAUCUGCCCUUGGGUUCGGAAUAACAGUUGGAAACGACUGCUAAUACCGGAUGAUGUCGAUAAGACCAAAGAUUUAUCGCCCGAGGAUGAGCCCGCGUCGGAUUAGCUAGUUGGUGGGGUAAAGACCUACCAAGGCGACGAUCCGUAGCUGGUCUGAGAGGAUGAUCAGCCACACUGGGACUGAGACACGGCCCAGACUCCUACGGGAGGCAGCAGUGGGGAAUAUUGGACAAUGGGCGCAAGCCUGAUCCAGCAAUGCCGCGUGAGUGAUGAAGGCCUUAGGGUUGUAAAGCUCUUUUACCCGGGAAGAUAAUGACUGUACCGGGAGAAUAAGCCCCGGCUAACUCCGUG
rnacentral:rRNA from 1 species